AUAAGAGUUUGAUCCUGGCUCAGGAUGAACGCUGGCGGCGUGCCUAAUGCAUGCAAGUCGAACGAGGUCGCUCCUUCGGGGGCUAAACCUAGUGGCAGACGGCUGAGUAACGCGUGGGUGACCUGCCCCCGAGAACGGGAUAACUGCGGGAAACUGCAGCUAAUACCGUAUACAUUCCCGUGCUUCAAGGCGCGGGAAGAAAUGAUUUAUCGCUUGGGGAUGGGCCCGCGUCCUAUCAGGUAGUUGGUGCGGUAACGGCGUACCAAGCCUUAAACGGGUAUCUGGUGUGAGAGCAUGACCAGACAGAGGGGGACUGAGACACGGCCCCCACUCCUCCGGGAGGCAGCAGCAAGGGAUCGUGCACAAUGGGCGAAAGCCUGAUGCCGCGACGCCGCGUGAGGGAUGACGGCUUUCGAGUUGUAAACCUCUUUUCUCAGGGAAGAGAGAGGACGUCACCUGAGGAAUAAGUCAUGGCUAACUACGUGCCAGCAGCAGCGGUAAUACGUAGGUGGCAAGCGUUAUCCGGAAUUACUGGGCGUAAAGGGUCCGUAGGCGGUUCGGUCAGUCUUCUGUGAAAGCUCCAGGCUCAACUUGGAGUCGUCGGGAGAAACUGCCGAACUAGAGACUGUCAGAGGCAGGUGGAAUUCCCGGUGUAGUGGUGAAAUACGUAGAUAUCGGGAGGAACACCAGUGGCGAAAGCGGCCUGCUGGGGCAGUUCUGACGCUAAGAGACUAAAGCGUGGGGAGCGAACCGGAUUAGAUACCCGGGUAGUCCACGCCCUAAACGAUGAAUGCUAGGUCUCCGGGGUGUUAAUUCCCUGUGGGCCAAAGGUAACCCAUUAAGCAUUCCGCCUGGGGACUACGGCCGCAAGGCUAAAACUCAAAGGAAUUGACGGGUCCCCGCACAAGCAGCGGAGCGUGUGGUUUAAUUCGAUGAUAAGCGAAGAACCUUACCUAGGCUUGACAUGUUUGGUGGUACCGAACCGAAAGGGGAGGGACCCUUCGGGGAGCCUUACACAGGUGUUGCAUGGCCGUCGUCAGCUCGUGCCGUGAGGUGUUGGGUUAAGUCCCGCAACGAGCGCAACCCCUAUCGUCUGUUACUCUCUCUGACGAGACAGUCCUUAAACGGAAGGAAGGUGGGGACGACGUCAGGUCAUCAUGACCCUUACGCCUAGGGCUACACACACGCUACAAUGGCCGGUACAGACGGUUGCGAAACCGUAAGGUAGAGCCAAUCCGACAAAGCCGGUCUCAGUUGGGAUUGAAGGCUGAAACCCGCCUUCAUGAACGUGGAGUUGCUAGUAACCGCAGGUCAGCAUACUGCGGUGAAUACGUUCCCGGGGAUUGUACACACUGCCCGUCAAGUCAUGGAAGUUGGAGACACUUGAAGUCGCUGGGCCAACCCUUAGGGGAGGCAGGUGCCGAGGGUGGAGCCAAUGACUGGGACUAAGUCGUAACAAGGUAGCUGUACCGGAAGGUGCGGCUGGAUCACCUCCUUUCUAA
rnacentral:rRNA from 1 species